ACAUGCCAUAGCUAGCUAGCUAUAUAGUUAGCCAAGGUUUACUCAUGAAACUUUUAGGAUAUGACUAAUCUCUGGAACAUAAUUUGCUACAUGCUGAUCCCCGGUUGUAUAUGUAACGCUACGGUGCGCUAUGGGUCUGGACGGUUUCAUGCUUCUUCUGAGCUAUGCGCCCUCAUUGAAAUGCCAGUUGAGGACAGUGCCAGUUGGAAUUUGAAGCAAGCCCACACAGUUCCUUCAGGAGUUGUAACCUUUCUAGUUACUUUUCAUGACAUUUAUCAUUUCUGUUACAGAAAAAGAGUGUGAUACAGAACAGUAUUGUAAUGUGCUUGGUAGCAAGCUUUAGUGUAAUACUAGCAAGCUAAGCCUGUUAAUCCACUGUAUGCUUGAACAUACAAGUAACUUGAAACAAUUUAGGAGACAUUGGACAGUAGUGCUUUGGAAUACAGCUUCUUUAAUUUUGGUGAGGCAAGAUAGCCUGUAUUGUUUGUAGUACAGUAACUUGGCGUCAUUUUGAUAUCAAUACUUUUAAUGGCAGGCCUAGAUUUUGCCAGUUUGAAUGAAUUACUUAUGCACAGUGCUUUGUAAGUGUGAGUAAACAUGACAUUUUUGUACGUUGAAAAUGUGUUUCCCAUGAGAUAUACAACCUAUAUAAUCGAUAUACAUUGGGAGUGAAAGUAUUAGAGGACACUAUGCGCAAGACUGAGAGAGGCAAAUUGCAGAGGCUACUCUUCCAGAUGUAAACCCCCUCAUUGGCACCAAGAACAGAACGGCGAAUUUGCAGAAAAUACAAAAAAAAAAGAUGAGCCUGAGAAGUUUUGGAACAAAGUAUUAUGGACAGAUGAAAUGAAGAUAAACUUUUACCACCGGUGAUCGAAAGAACUGCCACCAAACCCAUUGGAUGGAAGUUUAUCAUGCAAGGCAACAACUCAACAUAAGGCACACUUAACCAAGGAGCUUAUAUGGAAGAACAGGUUGUGUUUGAUGUGGCCCAGUCAGUCACCAGAUUUAAACUCAAGUGAACAUACUUUUCAUGUACUUAAAAGGAAACUGAAGUCUCAAACCCCAGCAAACACACAGGAACUGAAGGGGCAAAAAGCUUGGCUGAGCAUCUCAAAGGAUCACAUCAUGAACCUUGUGAUGUCCAUGAGUCAGACUAAAUGUAGUCAAAUGUUGGGUGUAUGCAGUGAAAUAUCGACCUUGCAGGUCAUUAGUUUGUCAACUUACUCUGUCCUAAUAUUUAUGCUGAAUUGAAAUAGCAUUGCAUUGAAUGGCAUUGUUGUAAUAUAAUUCAAUGUCUGUUUUUUGAAAUAAAAAAAACAUGAAAUAAAUGCA